UAGGGAAUCUUCGGCAAUGGGGGGAACCCUGACCGAGCAACGCCGCGUGAGUGAAGAAGGUUUUCGGAUCGUAAAGCUCUGUUGUUAAGGAAGAACGAGUGUGAGAAUGGAAAGUUCAUACUGUGACGGUACUUAACCAGAAAGGGACGGCUAACUACGUGCCAGCAGCCGCGGUAAUACGUAGGUCCCGAGCGUUGUCCGGAUUUAUUGGGCGUAAAGCGAGCGCAGGCGGUUAGAUAAGUCUGAAGUUAAAGGCAGUGGCUCAACCAUUGUAGGCUUUGGAAACUGUUUAACUUGAGUGCAGAAGGGGAGAGUGGAAUUCCUAGUGUAGCGGUGAAAUGCGCAGAUAUUAGGAGGAAUACCGGUGGCGAAGGCGACUUUCUGGCCAUAAUCUGACGCUGAGGCUCGAAAGCGUGGGGAGCGAACAGG
rnacentral:rRNA from 1 species